GACGAACGCUGGCGGCGUGCUUAACACAUGCAAGUCGAGCGGUAAGGCCCUUUCGGGGGUACACGAGCGGCGAACGGGUGAGUAACACGUGGGUGACCUGCCCUCAGCUCUGGGAUAAGCCUGGGAAACUGGGUCUAAUACUGGAUAUGACUCCACGGUGCAUGUCGUGGGGUGGAAAGCCUUGUGCGGCUGAGGAUGGGCCCGCGGCCUAUCAGCUUGUUGGUGGGGUGAGGCCUACCAAGGCGACGACGGGUAGCCGGCCUGAGAGGGCGACCGGCCACACUGGGACUGAGACACGGCCCAGACUCCUACGGGAGGCAGCAGUGGGGAAUCUUGCGCAAUGGGCGAAAG
rnacentral:rRNA from 1 species